GGGUCGGUACUCAAGUGGACAACGAGGCGAGACUGUAAAUCUCGUGGCGCAAGCCUACGCAGGUUCGAAUCCUGCCCGGCCCA
rnacentral:tRNA from 1 species